UUAUAGUAUCUAUCAAGAUUAUAGUAAGUUUACAGCAAAAUAAUGUAGGCCUACAUGUAAGUUCUAGAUCUUCAUUCAAUUAUCUUCCGUAUCAUGUGAAUCACGAUAAUAAUUUGUCUGUUUUGAUGUUUUAGAGUUAUCUAUAAUAUAGCCUAAUUAAGGAAAUAAUAUUGGCUAAUAAACAGACGUAGGUGACAGGAAAUUCACGAAUGACGUAUCAUCACACCAGAACUACUGAGCUGAUUGACUUGAAAUAUUUUGCAUAUUGAUUCUUAAUUUACCGAGGAUGGUUAUAGGCCUAUUUUGAAUUCUUGAAUAUUUCAGUGGGUCAAGUUUUUAAUUAGACCACCAUUGCGGAACACGGGUUAUCUACUAAUUAUAAUUUUAGAGAAUCUCACAUCUACAGAGCACACCCAACAUACCCCGAAUGUUUUCAUUACCGUACAUACUUUAUUGGACGACACACUAUUGAAUUUCAUGUUGAAAUAAACCUGUAUAGAUUUUCCUCUUUUGUGCAAAUAGAACUUUCUACUGAUGUUGAAGAGUCACUUUCAGAUACGAUUCAGACUAAAUACUUGAACGAUUGUCAUUACUUCUCGAUAAGCCCAAUAUUUGAUUUCAUUAUUGAUACGGUACUGUAUUAAUCAAUUACACGUAAACUUCCAGCACAUGCGGAGUAAAUGCAUCGUUAAUUUUGUGUAUCAACAUAUCACAAAAACUAUCAUAAUAAUAUUGAGAGUAUUGAGAGGAGAAAAAAGUAUCUUAUUUGUAUCACAUUUGCUAGAAGCUCAUCACAGUUCAUAUAACUCAAACGCUUCAACAAUAUUUGUCUCUGAAAACAGUCCUGAAAAUUUCUUGAAGUUAAAGUUAUUAUAUCCACAAGAUAGCUGCAUUAUUGGUAAACAUCUAGGAUCUUAGAAAGCUGUUGUUUUUCAUUUUUAAUGUUUCUAUGUAUAAGAAAUAAUAAGUUUCAUCACAACCCAUAAAGUAGUUUUUCAGAAAUUGUGAUAAGUAGUAAUUUCCAGAAUUCAACAAUCAAGUUAUUAAUUACAUACUGACUCAAUUAAUCUACCCAGUAGAUCUAUAUAUUAAUCAGAGAGCACUUAAAUACCUUCAAUUACAUUGUAGUCGCUUGAUUCAAUUAACGGAAAUCGAAAUAUUGAAUGUCAAAGAAUAUUAACUUAGGUACUGUAUUGUCUCUUAUGAUAAAUUGGAGACUAUUUGAAAGAAAAAUAGACGAUAUCUCUCAAGUCUUUGAAAUGAAAUUCACCUCGAAAGUGGAGAUAUUUCGUAUUUAUUUCCAUUUACAAUAAUAACAGCAUUUACUUUGCACCCAACCACAGCCCUACCACCAGUGACUGGUGGGUUUUUUUAUACUCUUUGCAUUUUGGUUCUGUUAACUACUAGAAGAUCGAUAUCCAAAGGGUCUGAUUGAUACUAUGAUUCGAAAAUUGGUUUUCAUGGUUGAGUAUUGAAAUAGAUUAGAGAUAUCAAAUUGAAUUCUAUGAAAGAAACUCAGGAACCAAUUCAAGUAAAGUUGUGAGAACAGCAAAUGUUAUGCCAACGAUACUCCCCUGUACAGGAGUCAAUUCAAUCAUUGCAAUUACUACAUUUUUGAGAAUCAUACAGUGAUUCUAUAUUAAUCUGUGGUUCUUCAAGGCUUGGAAUGAGCUUGUAAAAUAUAACUAUCACACAAUAUGAGACAAUACAACAUGAUUUUUUCAUUACACAACAUGAAGGAGAAAGAGAAAAUAGCUCACGCCUCACUUACUUCAUUCAGGUGCUUAGUUUUUAGCGUAGGCUAUACAAGCGAAAUUAUAUUGUCAAGAUCAUUUCGUAGCCGGAGUUGAGAAUCCUUUUAAAUGAGGAUGAAUUGCAAUUUAGUUUUUUUAUCUCUUUUCUAAUUUGAACCAUAUUACUUAAUUUUGAGGUCUCGCAGCAUUUUACAAAUCUUCUUUAGUUUUAGUAGGCCUAUUUUACACUUUCUCUGAUACCGUAUCGUAUCAAUCUUAUUCCGGUCGCGUAUUGAUGGGGAGGAUAUUAUUUUAUUACUUUUCCGACAGUUGCAUAGCUUGGCAAACAGAUAAUGUAUUCAAGAGUUUCAAGUCUCGUUUAAUCUGGUAGAUUUCAUAAGGACGGCAAAAAAUCGAUCGUCCAAAAAUCUUUGUGUGUAACUGGCUUAACUAUCACUGGCUUCAAGAAGCUCAAGAAAAUAGUUUUCUUAUUAUCAUAUGAAAUUACCGGAUUGUAGGUAUGGAGGCUUGAUAUUAGAAUACCGGUACCGUACAGAAAGUUUUUCAAUAGUAGAAUCGUUUAUUUUUCAGGAAUACUUACUUCUACCAGAAUCGGUGUUUAUUCGAUCAGAUACAUGAUCACAACAAUAACAUUUCUUGCUGAAUGAUAAUUUUAUUUCGUGUCUUGAAGUUGGGUGCUACUAGUUUUCCAGUUACACCAUAUCGAGCCAAAGUUGUGAGUUGGUUGGUUGGUAGUCCAACAUGAGAGAGUUGAGGAAGACUCCCUGCCCAAUUUUAACACCUGAGUCCACUCUUUGUCGCCAAUUGCUCAUCUGAUCGAUUUUUGCCUCCUGUUAGGUACCUCCUAGAUACCUAGGAGGAUUUGCCUCCUAGAUACCUAGCCAGUUAGGUUGUAUGCGAUACAUAACAGAGAAUGAAUAUUGCUCUCAAAAAUUGUUCGCCAUAAAAUAUUAUGGGUGAACUUCAGAGUAUUAGCUUUUGCAGUGAGUAGAACUGAAAAAAAUCAACUCAGAUCAGCAACCUUUUCUAUAGUUUUUUUUUGUCUAUAUUUUUAUUAACCUCGUCUACCACACCUCUCAACCCCUCUUUCUCUAUCUAUCCAUUGAUGGAUCCCGGUCGUGUGUUAAUGGGAAGGAUAUUAUUCCAUAUCAUUUUUAGAGAAAGGACAAUUAUUUGUCGAAACACCGCGAUUUAUGAAGAUACGGUACAUCGCAAUGUUAUCGUUAUUCAAAUUGCAUUCAAUCUCUAUUCUCAUUAAUUAACUCUUCAUAUCUUGUAAAAUUCGUUUAAAAUAAGCAGUAUUGUCAUUCAACGUAAAUUAGUGUAUAAGCCAGCAGUAUAAUAACAUAACAUACAUAAAUAAAGAACUCUAAUCUAAUCUAAUCUAAUCCAUGAUCCAUCAUCUUUACACUCUAUGCUCUCUCUCUUCUCUAUUCAACUGCAUAUGCUUUCUAUUACUAUGUUAUAUUUUCCAGUACGUUAGGCUAUAUAGUUUGAGUCUCUCCACUUACUACCUGCUCCACAGUUUCGAAUAAUAGUCCCUUCUUUUGUAAUAGUGUAGGUCUGUCACCAUUGUCCACUGGUCUACCCUCUCUUUCGCAACUCACUCCUUCUCAGUCGGAGUAUUUCGCGCCCUUUUUGGUUGGGUUUGCCUUUUGGUUAGUUGUAGCGCGGAAUAAGCAUACCAGUAGUGGGGUGUAGUGCUUCUUUCCUCUGUGGUUGUAGUCACUAAACUGUCACUAGUCAGUCGCAAUGAGCAGUUAGUUUCAGUUCAUCAUGUAUUGAAUACAUAUUACAGUUCAUGUUUCCAGUGUUUUAUCCGGGAAUUUAUUUGUUUUGAAGUCACUUGAUCUUCUAUUAUCAAUGAGACGUAUGUCGCGCCAUGCGCCGAUAAAGCUUCGGAAGGGCGCACAAUCACGAGUAUCAUGGGGAAGCUGGUGACCCUUCGUUGCCAUAUACUUUUCGUGGAAAAGAGUUCAACGCAAGGACGACCAUAAGAUAGAGAAAAAACCAUUCAAGGACCUUCUCAUAACUAAAGUUAUGAUUGCAGCUGCUACAAACCGGUGAUGGCCAAAGGCAGAAUUGGAGCAGGUCCAGUUGAAAGCGGCUACGUGGCUUGCACAAACCCAAUCCAAGUUGGACAAAAUGAAUCAGCCAUCAACACCAGCUACAAUAACAAUAAUCGACAUCGAUUGUGAAGAUGAACCUCUCGAAUAGAUAAGAAUAUAAUAGUAGUGACAGAAAAGAUCAUAAAACGUGUCUACAUGUUCAAUUUACUGAUAUCAUAAACAAUAAAUUAGUAAUUGAUUAUAA
rnacentral:lncRNA from 1 species